rnacentral:rRNA from 1 species
CCUACGGGUGGCAGCAGUGAGGAAUAUUGGUCAAUGGGCGCAAGCCUGAACCAGCCAAGUCGCGUGAGGGAUUAAGGCCCUACGGGUUGUAAACCUCUUUUGUCGGGGAGCAAGGGCCGCGACGUGUGCCGGCCCGGCGAGUACCCGAAGAAAAAGCAUCGGCUAACUCCGUGCCAGCAGCCGCGGUAAUACGGAGGAUGCGAGCGUUAUCCGGAUUUAUUGGGUUUAAAGGGUGCGUAGGCGGAAUUUUAAGUCAGGGGUAAAAUGUCGGGGCUCAACCCCGUCGGGCCGUUGAAACUGGGGGCCUUGAGUGAGCGAGAAGAAUGCGGAAUGCGUGGUGUAGCGGUGAAAUGCAUAGAUAUCACGCAGAACCCCGAUUGCGAAGGCAGCCUUCCGGCGCCCAACUGACGCUGAGGCACGAAAGUGCGGGGAUCGAACAGGAUUAGAUACCCUUGUAGUC